GGGCAAGCUUACUGGCAGUCCGAGCGAAAUAACUGAGAGCUUGGUUUCUGAUAUUUUAGCGGCGGACGGGUGAGUAACGUGUGGGUAACCUGCCUUUUACUGUGGAAUAAUCGUUGGAAACGACGACUAAUACCGCAUACGGUUCUUGGAAGGCAUCUUCUAAGAAAGAAAGGAGUAAUUCGGUAAAAGAUGGGCCCGCAUCUGAUUAGCUAGUUGGUGAGAUAAUAGCCCACCAAGGCAACGAUCAGUAGCCGACCUGAGAGGGUGACCGGCCACAUUGGGACUGAGACACGGCCCAAACUCCUACGGGAGGCAGCAGUGGGGAAUAUUGCACAAUGGGCGAAAGCCUGAUGCAGCAACGCCGCGUGAAGGAAGACGGUUUUCGGAUUGUAAACUUCUAUCAAUAGGGAAGAAAGAAAUGACGGUACCUAAAUAAGAAGCCCCGGCUAACUACGUGCCAGCAGCCGCGGUAAUACGUAGGGGGCAAGCGUUAUCCGGAAUUACUGGGUGUAAAGGGAGAGUAGGCGGCAAGGUAAGCGAUAUGUGAAAGCCUUAGGCUUAACCAAAGGAUUGCAUAACGAACUAUCUAGCUAGAGUACAGGAGAGGAAAGCGGAAUUCCUAGUGUAGCGGUGAAAUGCGUAGAUAUUAGGAAGAACACCAGUGGCGAAGGCGGCUUUCUGGACUGAAACUGACGCUGAGGCUCGAAAGCGUGGGGAGCGAACAGGAUUAGAUACCCUGGUAGUCCACGCUGUAAACGAUGAGUGCUAGGUGUCGGGGAGGAAUUCCCGGUGCCGGAGCAAACGCAAUAAGCACUCCACCUGGGGAGUACGAACGCAAGGGUUGAACUCAAAGGAAUUGACGGGGGCCCGCACAAGCGGUGGAACAUGGUGUUUAAUUUG
rnacentral:rRNA from 1 species